GACGAGCGCUGGCGGCGUGCCUAAUACAUGCAAGUUGAGCGCUGAAGGUUGGUACUUGUACCAACUGGAUGAGCAGCGAACGGGUGAGUAACGCGUGGGGAAUCUGCCUUUGAGCGGGGGACAACAUUUGGAAACGAAUGCUAAUACCGCAUAAAAACUUUAAACACAAGUUUUAAGUUUGAAAGAUGCAAUUGCAUCACUCAAAGAUGAUCCCGCGUUGUAUUAGCUAGUUGGUGAGGUAAAGGCCCACCAAGGCGAUGAUACAUAGCCGACCUGAGAGGGUGAUCGGACACAUUGGGACUGAGACACGGCCCAAACUCCUACGGGAGGCAGCAGUAGGGAAUCUUCGGCAAUGGACGAAAGUCUGACCGAGCAACGCCGCGUGAGUGAAGAAGGUUUUCGGAUCGUAAAACUCUGUUGGUAGAGAAGAACGUUGGUGAGAGUGGAAAGCUCAUCAAGUGACGGUAACUACCCAGAAAGGGACGGCUAACUACGUGCCAGCCGCCGCCGUAA
rnacentral:rRNA from 1 species